AACGUAGGGGACAAGCGUUAUCCGGAUUUACUGGGCGUAAAGCGCCCGUAGGCGGCCUGACAAGUUGGACGUGAAAGCUCCUGGCUUAACUGGGAGAGGCCGUUCAAAACUGUCAAGCUAGAGUCUGGAAGAGGAGAGCGGAAUUCCCGGUGUAGUGGUGGAAUGCGUAGAGAUCGGGAGGAACACCAGUGGCGAAAGCGGCUCUCUGGGCAAUUCCUGACGCUGAGGCGCGAAAGCGUGGGGAGCAAACAGG
rnacentral:rRNA from 1 species